ACACGGCAACGAAGCAUGGAGUUAUAGGAUUCUCGCGUGCGAUGGCAUUGCAAGACGGGUCGGCCGCACAGUCUGGCUACGGGGUGAGGAUCAACUGUCUCUGUCCUCACGCCACGGCGACCAACCUGCUAGGCGAGGCAAAGCUGAACUUCCCAGAGGAAAGCCAUGAAGAGGGUGUGUGAUUUCCUCAACCCAACCAAUCAGGAGUUUUGGAUUCCAGUAUCGAAUUUUGGCGCGAUUGUGCCUCCGCCUGGUGGAGGAUGACAGUUUGAACAGAGCCUGUCUGCUGGUGAGGAACUUUAACAGGUAACAGCUUCACUAUCCCGGAGACAGUAUUCCCAGCGAGUUCUAAACAACUGUCCAGGAUAACGAAUUUGUUUCCGGUUAUAGACUAUGAUCUAGGAUAACACAUU